GGGAAGUAUUUGGAUUACGGUGGCAGAUGAAUAGAUUGGUGUCUUCCCUGGAGGGCCAGGUAACUAGAUUGAAGCAGAGUCCAUGAAGAACUAACCAUGCCUCACCCCACCCCUGCAGAUGGCUCCUUCAUGAAGAUCUCCCCAUUUGGAACACAACAUCUGUUUCCUGCCGGGACCCUGACUGACACAAGGGUCAAAAUAAGCUCCUUCAUGGGAAGCAUUGAGAGAGGCAGAAAAUAAAGAGAAGGAAGACAAUAC